rnacentral:rRNA from 4 species
AAAUUGAAGAGUUUGAUCAUGGCUCAGAUUGAACGCUGGCGGCAGGCCUAACACAUGCAAGUCGAACGGUAACAGGAAGCAGCUUGCUGCUUCGCUGACGAGUGGCGGACGGGUGAGUAAUGUCUGGGAAACUGCCUGAUGGAGGGGGAUAACUACUGGAAACGGUGGCUAAUACCGCAUAACGUCGCAAGACCAAAGAGGGGGACCUUCGGGCCUCUUGCCAUCAGAUGUGCCCAGAUGGGAUUAGCUUGUUGGUGAGGUAACGGCUCACCAAGGCGACGAUCCCUAGCUGGUCUGAGAGGAUGACCAGCCACACUGGAACUGAGACACGGUCCAGACUCCUACGGGAGGCAGCAGUGGGGAAUAUUGCACAAUGGGCGCAAGCCUGAUGCAGCCAUGCCGCGUGUAUGAAGAAGGCCUUCGGGUUGUAAAGUACUUUCAGCGGGGAGGAAGGUGUUGU